GUCCUAGUUACCAGCACGUUAUGGUGGGCGACUCUAAGGAGACUGCCGGUGGACAAACCGGAGGAAGGUGGGGGAUGACGUCAAGUCAUCAUGGCCCUUACGGCCUGGGCUACACACGUGCUACAAUGGUCGGUACAAAGGGUUGCCAAGCCGCGAGGUGGAGCUAAUCCAUAAAACCGAUCGUAGUCCGGAUCGCAGUCUGCAACUCGACUGCGUGAAGUCGGAAUCGCUAGUAAUCGUGAAUCAGAAUGUCACGGUGAAUACGUUCCCGGGCCUU
rnacentral:rRNA from 1 species